UGGUUCUGGCAUCGAUGAAGAACGCAGCGAAAUGCGAUAAAUAAUGUGAAUUGCAGAAUUCAGUGAAUCAUCGAGUUUUUGAACGCACAUUGCGCCCUCUGGUAUUCCGGGGGGCAUGCCCGUUCGAGCGUCAUUGCACCCAUCGAGCCCGGCUCGGUAUUGGGUCACGGGGGCGACCCGGACCCCAAUGUCUCCGGCUGGAGCGUCGCGAUCGCAGCGUUGUGGCAGACCCUCAACCCGCUGGCGAGCCGGGCGCUCCCCGCCGCGAAACUUCUAUCUAGUUUGACCUCGGAUCGGGUAGGGAUACCCGCUGA
rnacentral:misc_RNA from 1 species